AUCGAUAAUNCACGUUAAAUUUCACUUNAAUCUUAAAAUUUAUAUACCGCCAUCUUAAGAAUUAAUUCAAAAAUAUUUCUCUAAAAAAAAAAUAAAAAGUUAGGUCAAGGUGUAAUUUACAUUAAAGAAUAAGAUGAAUUACAUUAAAUAUUAUUUAAAGAUUAUAUAUAAAUAUAUAUAUAUAAAUAAGAAUUUAAAAGUAAUAUUAAAACAAUAUUAUAAUAUGAUAUAGAUAAUAAAUGUGCACACAUCGCCC
rnacentral:rRNA from 1 species